rnacentral:rRNA from 1 species
AUUGAACGCUGGCGGCAGGCUUAACACAUGCAAGUCGAACGAGCGACGGACGGGUGAGUAAUGUCUGGGAAUCUGCCCGAUAGAGGGGGAUAACUACUGGAAACGGUGGCUAAUACCGCAUACUAUAGGAUGAACCCAUAUGGGAUUAGCUAGUAGGUGGGGUAAAGGCUCACCUAGGCGACGAUCUCUAGCUGGUCUGAGAGGAUGAUCAGCCACACUGGGAAUGAGAAACGGCCCAGACUCCUACGGGAGGCAGCAGUGGGGAAUAUGGCGCAAUGGGGGAAACCCUGACGCAGCCAUGCCGCGUGAAUGAAGAAGGCCUUCGGGUUGUAAAGUUCUUUCGGUAGCGAGGCGUUAACUACAGAAGAAGCACCGGCUAACUCCGUGCCAGCAGCCGCGGUAAUUC